GAGAGUAUAUCUCAGUGGUAGAGUGCAUGCCUAGCAUGCACAAGAUCCUGGGUUACAUUCCCUGUACCUCCA
rnacentral:tRNA from 1 species